UACGAAGGGGGCUAGCGUUGCUCGGAAUUACUGGGCGUAAAGCGCACGUAGGCGGAUUGUUAAGUCGGGGGUGAAAUCCUGGAGCUCAACUCCAGAACUGCCUUCGAUACUGGCGAUCUCGAGUUCGGGAGAGGUAAGUGGAACUGCGAGUGUAGAGGUGAAAUUCGUAGAUAUUCGCAAGAACACCAGUGGCGAAGGCGGCUUACUGGUCCGGUUCUGACGCUGAGGCGCGAAAGCGUGGGGAGCAAACAGG
rnacentral:rRNA from 1 species